rnacentral:rRNA from 1 species
AGCAGCCGCGGUAAUUCCAGCUCCAAUAGCGUAUAUUAAAGUUGUUGCAGUUAAAAAGCUCGUAGUUGAAUUUCGGGAUUGACGUGAUGGUCGUGCCUUAAGGGGUAUGAACUGUCGCAGUUGAUUUCUCACCUUCUGGAGAAGCAUGAUGUCCUUAAUUGGGUGUCAUGUGGAACCAGGACCUUUACCUUGAAAAAUUAGAGUGUUUAAAGCAGGCAUUUUGCUCGAAUACAUUAGCAUGGAAUAAUAGAAUAGGACGGCAUGGUUCUAUUUUGUUGGUUUCUAGGAUCACCGUAAUGAUUAAUAGGGAUAGUUGGGGGCAUUAGUAUUCAAUUGUCAGAGGUGAAAUUCUUGGAUUUAUUGAAGACUAACUACUGCGAAAGCAUUUGCCAAGGAUGUUUUCAUUAAUCAAGAACGAAAGUUAGGGGAUCGAAGACGAUCAGAUACCGUCGUAGUCUUAACCAUAAACUAUGCCGACUAGGAAUCAGACGAUGUUAAUUUUUAAUGACUUCGG